GGGCCCGUGGCCUAGUCUGGAUAGGGCGCAGUAAAAGUUUGUCGCGUAAGCCUUCGGAGGUAGUGACUUAAAUAUUGGAGAAAGCCUGAAGUCGGGGGUUCAAAUCCCCCCGGGCCCGCCA
rnacentral:tRNA from 1 species